AGGACAGACAUUUUUGUAGCUGCAAAUUGCCAAGUGAUAAUACAAAUGUUUCCAGGAUGAUAGAAUACAAAAUAUACUCAGGGCCACAGUUCUAUGUUACCUGACUGUUCAAGAACGUCAAUGAAUUGUUCUGAUGGAGCAGAAAUUGAAAAGCAAAGCUGAGCUAUUCUGUCAGCCAGAGAUUAAUUCUCAAGAAAAGAAGAACUAUUGGCCAGCUACAAAAGGACACAGGCAAGUGUUUAAAGGGAUCUGUCAUUCAGGAUGGCUGUAAGGAAGAGCAGCCUGAAGCAUGUGAAAAGGAACUCCCAUCUUCUCUCUUUUCUUCCUGAUUGAAGACAGCUUCAUCACUUUUAGUACAUUACACCGUUUGGAACAGGAGACAGAAGGAACCACAUCAAAUAAAAGAAUGUGACCACAAAAGCUGCCUUGAGAACCAUGAUCCCAGAUUUGUUGUAAAUUUACCAUUUUCAGACUCACUCAUCCAUAAUCAAAUCCUCUCUACCAUAUUAACAAUGUGGUGUUGUGCAAAAACAUUGGAAUUCUGCUUCAGUCAGCAACAAAGAGCUUAACAAUACAAUGAGACAACAAAACAUUGCCCCUUUUAUUAAGAAACAUUCAGGCCUUGGCUACACUUGCGGAUUCACAGCGCUGCCGAGUGUA